AUUGAACGCUGGCGGCAUGCCUUACACAUGCAAGUCGAACGGCAGCACGGGAGCAAUCCUGGUGGCGAGUGGCGAACGGGUGAGUAAAGUAUCGGAACGUGCCCAGUCGUGGGGGAUAACGUAGCGAAAGUUACGCUAAUACCGCAUACGAUCUAUGGGUGAAAGCGGGGGAUCGCAAGACCUCACGCGAUUGGAGCGGCCGAUAUCAGAUUAGGUAGUUGGUGGGGUAAAGGCUCACCAAGCCGACGAUCUGUAGCUGGUCUGAGAGGACGACCAGCCACACUGGGACUGAGACACGGCCCAGACUCCUACGGGAGGCAGCAGUGGGGAAUUUUGGACAAUGGGCGAAAGCCUGAUCCAGCCAUGCCGCGUGCAGGAUGAAGGCCUUCGGGUUGUAAACUGCUUUUGUACGGAACGAAAAGGUUUGGCCUAAUAAGCUGAGCUCAUGACGGUACCGAAAGAAUAAGCACCGGCUAACUACGUGCCAGCCGCCGCCGUAA
rnacentral:rRNA from 1 species